rnacentral:rRNA from 1 species
UUCCUACGGGCGGCAGCAGUCGGGAAUUUUGGGCAAUGGGCGAAAGCCUGACCCAGCAACGCCGCGUGAAGGAUGAAGUAUUUCGGUAUGUAAACUUCGAAAGAAUAGGAAGAAUAAAUGACGGUACUAUUUAUAAGCUCCGGCUAACUACGUGCCAGCAGCCGCGGUAAUACGUAGGGAGCAAGCGUUGUUCGGAUUUACUGGGCGUAAAGGGCGCGUAGGCGGGGCGGUAAGUCACUUGUGAAAUCUCUGGGCUUAACUCAGAACGGCCAAGUGAUACUGCAGUGCUAGAGUGCAGAAAGGGCAAUCGGAAUUCUUGGUGUAGCGGUGAAAUGCGUAGAUAUCAAGAGGAACACCUGAGGCGAAGGCGGGUUGCUAGGCUGACACUGACGCUGAGGCGCGAAAGCCAGGGGAGCAAACGGGAUUAGAUACCCGAGUAGUC